AGUGAACGCUGGCGGUAGGCCUAACACAUGCAAGUCGAACGGCAGCACAGGAGAGCUUGCUCUCUGGGUGGCGAGUGGCGGACGGGUGAGGAAUACAUCGGAAUCUACACUGUCGUGGGGGAUAACGUAGGGAAACUUACGCUAAUACCGCAUACGACCUACGGGUGAAAGCAGGGGAUCUUCGGACCUUGCGCGAUUGAAUGAGCCGAUGUCGGAUUAGCUAGUUGGCGGGGUAAAGGCCCACCAAGGCGACGAUCCGUAGCUGGUCUGGGAGGAGGAUCAGCCACACUGGAACUGGGACACGGUCUAGACUCCUACGGGAGGCAGCAGUGGGGAAUAUUGGACAAUGGGCGCAAGCCUGAUCCAGCCAUACCGCGUGGGUGAAGAAGGCCUUCGGGUUGUAAAGCCCUUUUGUUGGGAAAGAAAUCCAGCUGGCUAAUACCCGGUUGGGAUGACGGUACCCAAAGAAUAAGCACCGGCUAACUUCGUGCCAGCAGCCGCCGUAA
rnacentral:rRNA from 1 species